rnacentral:RNase_P_RNA from 1 species
UUUAUCCGCGGGAGGAAAGUCCGGACUCCGCAGGGCACCGUAGCAGUUAACGACUGUCCGCCGUGAGGCGAGGAUUAGAGCAACAGAGACGAGCCGGCGUUAGGGUCGGGUGAAACGGGCAAUCUCUACGGGGAGCAACAUCAAAUAGGCAGCCUAUAGUUCGGCCCGAACUGGUUGCGGGUAGAUGGCUUGAGGCGGCAUGUGAAUGUCGUCCUAGAUGAAUGAUCGUCACUUCACUUCGGUGAGGAACAUAAUCCGGCUUAUCGG